CCAAACAUCCAAUUUGAAUCUACACAUGGGACAAAAAAAUUUAAAAAUACAAGUGCAAUAGGUGCAAAAGCUGUCUCUUCAAUACAGCAAAUUAAGAAAGAAUUGUGGCUAGAACUACAGGGACACUUCAGAGUUAACACAGACUGGUAGAGAAGUCAGGAUGUAUUGACAGUAUUUGGUUCUCAAAGCAGGCUGCUUGCACGGCUAAAUUGCAUAAGCUCAUGUUCUGAUGCUGCUGAAACGGAGGAGUGGAAAAUGUUACUGCACACUUCAGCUUCU